UACGAAGGGGGCUAGCGUUGCUCGAAGAUCACUGGGCGUAAAGGGUGCGUAGGCGGGUCUUAAGUCAGGGGUGAAAUCCUGGAGCUCAACUCCAGAACUGCCUUUGAUACUGAAGAUCUUGAGUUCGGGAGAGGUGAGUGGAACUGCGAGUGUAGAGGUGAAAUUCGUAGAUAUUCGCAAGAACACCAGUGGCGAAGGCGGCUCACUGGCCCGAUACUGACGCUGAGGCACGAAAGCGUGGGGAGCAAACAGG
rnacentral:rRNA from 1 species